rnacentral:lncRNA from 1 species
CGCCCCUCUCCCCGGAAGAAUGGGGGCCUCUGCUCACACCAGAUUGGUCGGACGGCAUCACGUGACCUCAUCUCUUGGACUCGCUUGCUAUUCCCGAAAAGGGGGAAAGGAUUUGGGGGGGACAAUCGCGGAGCCUCUCGCUGGCUUUAGGGAGAGAGGGCUGGGGUAGAGGAGAGCCCCAGGGAGCAGGCAGAGGUGGGUUGGCUAGGGCCUUGUGUGACUUGGGCUGAGAAACUUCACUUAUUCCCUGGCGCUGGCAGUUGUCAAACUGGGUCUUGUAGAUGCUAAGUCUCCAUAGAGGUAUCGUAGGAUAUUCUUUCUGGGAGCCCUGAGCCCAUCUAACCUCCAGUUCGUCCAUCAACUGAUUACUGCUCAGUCACCUCAGAUGAUACCACUGGGAGCCAGAGAACUGCCUAGCUGUGCCCUGCCUGAAUGUCUGACUCAUCACUCAUGGUGGAUGACCUUUUUCCUGAAGAAACUGCUGCAGAAUGAAAGCUCCAGGCGCUUGGGUGCAGCAAGUAGGCUAUGCAUUUCCCACCAGCAGGAAUCUAGCUCCUGGCCAAGGUGAGCCACGCAGAGCAGCAGCCACGGGUAUCAUCCUCCCAGGAGGCAGAUCCCAAUUCGCGGAGAAGACCCGGCCAGCGGGAGGAUGCCAGCCUCAUCCUCAAGGCUGGGAUUGGGACUCUUUCCAGAAGGAACGACCUCUGUGCUUGAGUUGGUUGGGGGGCGCAAUGGAUUCUUUAACACUGGGGAAAUUCAUACAGAUGAAAGUGAGAGACACAUGACAGUGAACUGUAAACAUCAGCCAGGUCUUAGAAACGCUGGGGGAGGGACACACAAACCUUGUGAGAAGAAAAAUAAGCUUUUGUGGAAGUGAGGUUUGGAGGCCAAGAGUCCUUUAAGCGUCUUAAAGGAUCCACUGUGCAUCCUUUGUUAGUGGUGGGUGUGCUUCCUCCAACACUAGCCUUUGGUUUACUUUUAUGUGCCACUGGAUUCUGUUGCUCCAGGGAUACCAGGCUCUUUAGAAGCCAUUCUAGCAGCUGGUCUCUGCUUGGGAAUGUACAAGUGUUGGCUCUGGGACAUGUAAUCGCCUGUGCCUCCUGAUGUGGUUUCCAAGCAUCCACUGAGGUUUCUUUCACUUUGGGGGAAAAGAUGAGAGGCCCUGUGCUUAAACAAUUUGGAAGCAGAAAUCCAAACACCAGGGACCUGAGUGCAGCAAGGGCAGGGUCCUGGGAGGGCCUCUCCAGAAACCGCUCUCCUUCUGGAGGGAGGAUGGGGUCAUCUUUGCUGAGCAGAAGGCAGCGAUGGUUUCCUUUUAGAUGCUGUGGGUGCCCCUGUCAGCAAGAACCCCAGUUGUGGCCUCAGGGGUGGGGAGGAGAGCUCUUUCAGUGUUGCCUUAGGUGUGUGUCUGUGUGUGUCCUAACCCAGUCCUUCCCACACUCCCCCACGUGCUGAUCACGACGAGCACCUCUAAGGCUGGGUCUUUGCAUUAGAAAGUUAUUUGUUAGGGGUACAGGGGGCAAAGAAGGCACCUGGCACUCAUCCUCACCUCCAACUCCCAUGCUUGGGCAGGAUGUCUUUGUCCCUGAGUGAGGUGACGAGCUUUGCUGGCCCCACAGUCUUACCUGCCUGGUCGGGUGAGCCAAGGGGGACCCUGUCCAUGAUGUCUGGGCCAAGAUGUCCCUGUUGGCGACCCUGGAGGGUCCUCUGUCCUGCUGCUGCUCCUGUGGUCACGUAGGGGGUCUGCUCCUCAUGGACCCACCACCCCCGUGUAGUUGUAAUGCAAGUGAGGGGUUCUAAUUUUGUCAGCUUUAUCUUAGUGAAAUAAAGGUUAAUAUCACAGAACCGAAAACAAAGCUUCUGCUCAUUACUAGGGAGUUUCAGCUACUCCCUUUCCGCAAAACAAUAAAUCCAAUCUUAACAUUUUCAGCUUUCUCAUGAUUCUCACUCUCCCUUCUCAG